GUUCUGUCCCUACACCAGAAUGUCCACCUCAGGAGGCAGGGACAGUGUCUGCCUUGGUCACGGCUAUGCCCAGGCUUAUCACAGUGCUAGGCAUCCGGCAGGACUCAGUACCUAUUUAAAAAUCAACAAAUCAAGCAGAUGCGUGAUGCCAUCCGGGUGCUGAAUGACAGAUGAAAACCAGGUGCUCUGGGCACCUGGGCACAGGGCCCUGCCCUACGUCUCCCUCCGAAGGUGCCCCGAGCCAUGCAGCCGCUUCUGUACCUUCUGGCCACUGACCCAGGCCCUGACCUUCCUCCUGGCAGGUGCUGCCCCUGCCCACUCCCAGCAAAGGUUUGUACCCUGCCUUUUUCCCUAGGUAUAUCACUCAUUCGCCAUUAAGGAUCACAUUGUUCGUGAAUGCAUGAUGUGCCCUCUAAAAGCAUGGCCAGCAGUUAUUGAGCGCCUACUG
rnacentral:lncRNA from 1 species